AGCUCACACAAACCCUUGAAGACCACAGAAUGGUGAACCAAACAAGGUAUUUCUUCCUAAGUGCACGGCUGACAUGGAGGCCGGGACAGGAGAGAGAUGGAAAAUGCCCCAGGUUCCUGGGGCUUAGCUGCAAUUUCUUUUAGCCCGUCUCUCUCUGGGUGUCUGCUUAUGAUUGUCACGGCAAUUCUGGCCAGGGGAAUUCGCUCUGUCUCGCUGGAAUUUCCUGACUUCAAGUAGCCCCUUCCAAAUAAAUAAAUUAAUCAAUAAAAGCCAUCUGCCUCACCUUGCCAGCAGGCGCAGCGCUGGAAGGGGUGGUGUUGAACGCGAUUUUUAGGAGCAGUUGGCCCUUGAGACAUUUCGAGCAUGUGACCAGAAUGCUGCCAGCUAAUUUUAACCCCACCAAAGGACUG